rnacentral:rRNA from 1 species
AACUCGGAGGAAGGUGGGGACGACGUCAAGUCAUCUGCCCCUAUGUCCAGGGCUCAAACAUGCUUACAAUGGGCCGGUACAGAGGGCUGCGAUACCGUGAGGUGGAGCGAAUCCCUUAAAGCCGGUCUCAGUUCGGAUCGGGGUCUGCAACUCGACCCCGUGAAGUCGGAGUCGCUAGUAAUCGCAGAUCAGCAACGCUGCGGUGAAUACGUUCCGGGCCUUGUACACACCGCCCGUCACGUCAUGAAGUCGGUAACACCCGAAGCCGGUGGCCUAACCCUUGUGGAGGGAGCCGUCGAAGGUGGGAUCGGCGAUGGGACGAAGUCGUAACAAGGUAGCCGUACCGGAAGGUGCGGCUGGAUCACCUCCUUUCUAAGGAG